rnacentral:rRNA from 1 species
ACGCUCGACACCUACGGGAGCAGCAGUGGGGAAUAUUGCACAAUGGGGGAAACCCUGAUGCAGCGACGCCGCGUGAAGGAAGAAGUAUCUCGGUAUGUAAACUUCUAUCAGCAGGGAAGAAAGUGACGGUACCUGACUAAGAAGCCCCGGCUAACUACGUGCCAGCAGCCGCGGUAAUCUGAGCGGGCUGGCAAGGC